UUUGUGUUCUCUAUUAUGUGCGUGGCAUAGAGUAAAAAAAAUCUUGUCUGCUUCUCAUGCCAUUUCUGAUUUGUUAAUUUAACCCUUCACUCAUCAGAUCGAAAGGACUGUGAGAAUGGCUGAGAGGAUCAUAGGGGUCUCCCUACCAUCCAUCAGCAACAUUCAUCAGGAGUGCAGCAUACGCAGGGCCCUUAGUAUUAUCAAGGGUCCCAUCCAUCCAUCCAUCCAGCAUCCACUUUGACUUUCUACCGUCAGGAAAUGACAUGAAUGUUGAAGUUUUGGAGGAUUCGGGGAAUAGAGGAAGAGAGUUCUUGUGAUUAGAUGUCCAAUUGAGUCUGCGGAGGUCCAGCAUCAAAAAACUUGGAUGUGUGAUGGGAAAUGUGCUGACUGGCUGCAAAGACCUGGUAUGGGAACACCAAUGGCUUUGAGCAAAAAAUCCUACUAAAGGUAAUGGAUUUGGCCCAGUGCUUCAGGGGUAAAACCCUCCCAGCCAUUGAGCACAUCUACAUGAAACGUUGCCGUAGAAAAGCAGCAUCCAUCAUCAAAAGUCCUCACACACCACCCAGGCCGUGCUGCCAACAGGCAGAACGUACAAGAGCCUCAGGACUCGUACCAACAGUUUUAAGAAAAGUUACUACCCCUCAACUAUCAAGCUCUUGAACAAAAAGGGAUAGCUACACUCAUUUAAGGACUGUUAUACAGAUUUCCUCAGAAUGCCCACAAAAAAAACCUCCCAGGAUUGUAUGUGGUGACAUUUACAUACGCGGAAAUAAAUUUUACUUUGAACUAUGAA